AAGUAGGCUUUUAAACAUCAGUAGUAGAUUAAUAAAACUUUAUAGAUAAAUGAUGUGAAUCCCCAGUAGAAAACUAGCCAGGAAAUACACUGAAUUCGCAUUAAAGAUGCAAAGUUGCAACCAACUUAAUGUUUUUAAAAAUAACUAAAAUUAUGACUGCUAAUAUAAUACUGCUUUUGUUUUACAGGCAAAGCAACACUAAAACUCUGAUACACAGAAACGUAUCAUGGUCAGCAAAAACACUGAUCAUUGUCUAGAACCUUCCCAUACAGGAUACAAUUGUUUAAAUAUUUACACUAAUAAUGUUUUACCCAAACAAAUUUAACCUAGGGAGGUCUAAGCAUUUCUUCUGAUUUGAGAGUAUUUCCCACGUAACACAUCAUUAGUAACCUAUCAAUAACCCUAAUUAUUCCCAACAUUUCUUUCUUUACAAGGUGACAAAACAAAUCUUAGUGGGAACCCUUUGCAAAAUCUCAAAAACAAUUUUAAGUGCUGACGAGGUUAAUCGAACUUUGAGCUUGACACAACUUCGGGACCACAAAGCCCUCGAUCCCAUGUAAAUUUUCUGCACUUGAAUUUGUUUGCUCCUCUUAAGAGCAACCCCUGCCCCAUGUGCUUAACCACAAACCAACACUUCCUGCCUUAACUUCCCUGUUAGUACAAUAUUUGAUGAAGGUUAAGUUUCAAGAACCCCCUCCCCUACCAGUUUUCAGCUCCCCACCUCCAACUCUCCACAGCCACCUAUCCCAGGCGUCUCUGCAUUUAAAAGUUCUGCCCACCCAUCCCUCCCCAGAUACAUUUCUGACUUAGUCUUAGAGCGUCUUCCUAUUAUGAUACUCCUCUCCCCCUAUUGCAAUAACCCCCUUCAUAUGAACAUAGUAACAUCCUUCAUAGUAACAUCCAUUGCAUUUUUUUUCUUUCACAGGGAUGACGCUGUAACUCUGACAGAAUGUCAGAUGCCCCCAGGACCUUGCUUUCUUCACCCAGGCGCCAAUGCCAUCUGAUCAGAUGCUGGCUCCUUUCCUGGCCGGGGAAGUUGGGAUCCACAUGGUGAGUCUAAAUCCUGGUCCAGUGCUUCACACAUGUGUCUAUUGUAGCAUGGUAAGGACUUGGCUUUAUUCUUCAUUUUUGUCUUUUUUCCUUCUAUUUCUCUGCCUUCUUCCAGCUUUUCUGAGUAUAGUUAAAGCCCCUGACUCUUGGAUUACAUUGACUUAUUCUGAGCAGGGCUCCUGAAUCCCAUGACUCCAAGAUUUCAUCCAAACGGUGCCCUGCUUUUAUUGUUUGGUACAAAGAAACAGAACAAAGUCUCUUCCACAAAAAUUUUCAGAGACCACUGCUUCCUUCCAAGGCCAUUUCUCUUCCUCGGUGUUUUCUAAGACCUAUCCCUUCCCAUCAUCCUCCUCUAACUCUGCCUCCCUUUUUCCACCUUCAACUUUCCCUUCAGCUCCCUAGAAUCCUUCGUUCUCCCCCCUUCAACGCCUCUACCUCCUCUGUCAUCCACCCUGCCAGGCCUUUCUUUUCUCACUCAGGCUCCUCGUCCUGUAGACACCUGAUAUUUAAGUCCCUUACCACUGUCGGGGCUGUGAGGAGCCCAGCGACCCCAGGAGCAAAAGCCUGCAGCUGAAAAAGCUAAUUAGAAAUAAGCUUCAAGUUUUCUUUACUCAGAUGGGCUUUGGAGACACCGAUGGCCACUUGGUCUCUCCUCUGUCACUCUCCCAAAAUGUAGUCCACAGCCUCCAUUGGAUACAUAUCGGGGCCAAGUACAUCUUGAGGGUCUCCUCCACAAAUACUGGGGAGACUGCUUCAGCUCUUACAUUGAGCAGGUUACUUCAAUUUGCCCCAUCUGCCAGAAACACGAUCCUUGUAAAAAGGUAAAAGUGAGGCAGGGAUUAGAGUCAGCUCUUUUACAUGAACCGGUGAGUUUUGAGUCUUUGCGUUUAUAUCUGAACCAGCUCUAAAAUUUUUUAAUUAAAACUUAAAGCUAUAAGCUCUUUCUUUGUGUCCAUCUGUAUGUGCGUAUAUGUAUGUUGUAUUAUACACAUGUACUAUUUUCCUACCUCCAAAUGGUAUGACCACAUUAAAUUCUGAAGUCCCUUAAAGGAGCUCCUUCUGGAUUGGAUAAGAGAUGAAUAGGAGUUUAUAGAAUUUUAAAUAUUUCCGAAAUUCCCAGAGACCGAGACAAUUAAAUCUCUAAUAUGUUUAAUGUGGGGGAAAAAGGUAUUCUUAUAAAAGUUUACCAAUGUGUUUUUAAAAUUCAGGCUCACGAGGUAAAUCUUUGGCAAACGAGGCUAGUUUAAAUGUUGUUGGUUUAAUAAAUACAGUUAUGCCUUUUGAGUUAUCAGCCUUGUGAGAACACAUUUUUAUUUUACUUAGGCAUGUUCUUCCUAAACUCAUCCAGGUUAAGUUUGCUUAUUGCUUGAUUAUCUGGACAUACCAUUGCUAUGUUUUAACAAUAUGCUUGAUAUACGUUCGUGGUAUAUCAUGUCUCAGAACCAUGAUAUUGUAUCUGUCAUGUUUUCCUCUAAAGAUUAUACUCAUCCAUUUUCAUAAACUACAUAUAAUAUCCAGUCUUCUUUGAAAACAGGAUUAACGAUGCUAAUUAAACAUUAGCAUGUUUUGCCCAAAACUGAUUGAACUGACUUUUUCAGUGUCCCAUAAAAAUCAAAUUGCUUCAUCAAUUGUAUUAUUUUUAUAGUGAACUCUGCUCAGAUCUUUCACCUUUGAAAAUUAUCAAAAUGAACUAACCAUGGCUAUUUUAAGUUUUCUGUCCUUCACAGGUGGUUUUAUGUUACUCUGAUGCUUCCCGAAGAGCCCUUGCAAAUCAGCUACCGACUGAGUGCUCUGUCUUCAACAAAAAAGGAUUAUCUUAGAGACCCGUGGAAGCAGACUAUGCCAGCCAGGUACUCUUGGGCAUCCCAUUUAAGAACACUGAAACAAUUGACCUCUGCCUGCACUCCAAACAGAUGAUUCAAUUGGUCUUCUAGGGUCAUCACUGAGAAUAUGGUGGCCCUGAGGUCUAUCUCACUCAGCCAUCCGCUGUUUGAGUUAUUCCUUAUCCUUGAAUUGUCCAUGAAGAGUCUCUCUGAGCCCACCUUGAACAAAGAGAGGGACUGACAAGGCUGAGGCAACUUUAUGCUUCAUAUAAGUUUAGGCUGCUUUGCUGAGAACCACUAGGUCCCAACUCUGCAAACUUUCUGCACUUUUGCUUGUUUACUUCAACCGAGACCAGAAUCCCAAGUCCUUGUGCCCGAGGACACAACUUUCCUGCCUCAACUUUUCUACUAGUACAACACUGGAUGCAGUUCAUUAUGUUUCAAGGCACCUUCCGCACACCAGCUGUUAGCAUGGCAUCCUUCUGCUUUGCACAGGCACCUAUCCCAGGGUCUCUGCUUACAGAAACUUUGCUUGUCCCACCCGCUCCACCCCCCCCCCGCCACCUGCCUGACACUGCUCUGGCUCAGGCUUUGAGCAUCUCUCUGCAAUAGUCUCAUUCAAUAAUACCUCUCCUUACUCGGGUCCAGACUUAACUUUUUUUUUUUUUUCUUGACAAUUUCUUCGGCAAAAGAUAUCAUUUAGGAUUUGAUUUUUGGAAAGUAAAAUACAAAAAGUAGUCAGGAAAUUUGAACACUUGAUUAAAUAGGACAGUGGAUUACUGAGAAAUAAUAGUUGGUUACCUAAUUAGCCAAAAUGAAGACAUAAAUUUAAAAGUAGGCAUAGAAGGGACGUGACUAUAAAGAACUCCAAUUCUUUUCAAGUGAAAAGACUUUGUUCUCUCGCGUAAUUAAAGAUAUGAUAAAGUCAACACAAAGUAUAGGAAAUGAGUCUAAUAAGACCCUGAAUAGUUGUUUUCUAGGCAGAUUAUUCUAAAGGUAAAGAAAAAUAUUUUUUACAAGCACUUAUUAAGAAAACACCAGUAAUCCAAGGGAAAAAAAUGUCAUUUUAAUAGAAAGAAAACCAAGUGCUAGUUUUGAAACAGCAUAUUUGGUACUAACACUCUUAUUAAAAAUCUUAUAUUUAAAUUAAAAAAAAAGAAAUGGAAAAAAAGAUUCAUAAAAACAAUCUUAUAAAUAAGCCCAUCAGCCUUAGCCAGCUUUGAUUCUAAGAAAUACAAUUCCUUUUCCAUGAACCAUCUACAACUUUCUCUAUCCAGACAAGUUUGUCAUACACUUGUCUCUCAUUUGGGAAGCAGUUAUUUUACUUUGGAACAAAGCUACUCUUGUUUUUCUUAACAAAAUACCCCCUGCACACUUCAUGUGCAAAGUUGCUCCUCUCGGCUACUAUCACUCCUGUCAGAGUCUCAUUCACAUAUACUGAUUCUAAGUUUUCACUACAGCCACUUCUACUGCAUAUAGAAAACCAGGAGACGGUGUAAGAGAAGAGUUAUUUCCAGGGAAUGUGUUAAAGCCGCGAGGCAGAUCUUAUUAGAACUACUGCAGUAGAGGAGAGAGACUUUGGUAUCCCAUUCCCAUGCAGCACAGACAGCUGGAGAUCUCAGCCAAGGAGCCAGGGAGGGGGUGAGUGGAUAGGAAAUUACUAAGAGGAACUUGGUUAGAUACCAAAGUACGGGGAUUCUUGCUAAACUGGCUUAACAGGAUUCUUACUAAAAGCAGGCGCCAAGGACUUAGAUAUCUAGGGCAGGGUGUGAGGAGCUUGAUCAGAUAUCAAGGAUGAUCCCAUAUAAAGAGGGGCAAGUGUCAAUUAACUAGCUUAGGAUUCAUUGCUAAAGUGGGGGCUCAGCAGGCCAAGGUCGAGCCUAGUCUAGAAGAAGGCUCACAGGAGCCUAACUAAAGUUUGGUCAAGGAAGGAGUACCUGAUAGUAAAUAAUUGUAAACUGUCUUUCAUAUACCAGUAUUUUCUAGCAGACUAGCAAAGUUUAUAAAUAUACAUCUCAACAUCUCAUAAUUUUUAUAAUCAUAAGCGUUCCUUAUAGGUACAGCUUCUCAAUGUGGCAAAAAUGAACAUGUGCAUUAACAGACCCAAAUAGAUAGCCUCUCUGUAUUAUAUAAAAGUAAAAGUCCAAAAGUAUAUAAAAUGAAAUUGUAUUCAGCAAUUAAUGCUUCAAUUUUUUCUCUUAGAUAGGAUUUAGGUGUCUAAUGAAUAUUCAUAAAUUAAGUCAAUUUAGCAUCAGUCCAAGGUUUUAAGCUACCAAUUCAUUUUGGACACUGUCUUUAAGCUGACAUACUGCAAAAUAUAAUUACUUUGAAAUAAAGUUUGUCCAAAUAAUGACUUAAUUUGACUAAUACAAAUGUACAUUUUUAUAAUCUUAAAAUAUAGUAACUGAAAUGAUAGUGUAUUAAAUCAGCCAAACUUUAUAAAUUGAGGAAAAACAUGCUUGCAUAAAAUUAAAAUAUAUGUUUCUAUUACAUUUAAUGCUGACAACUCAGAAGAUAUAGCUGUUUUUAUUAAACCAAUAAUAUUAAAUUAGUCUCAUUUGCUAGAGUUACCUAAAUUAUGUAAACUUAAAUUCUUAGAACAUUUGAAUUACUGCCUAUAAGAAUGUAUUUUGAGCACAUUGAAAGUAUUAGAAAUUUAAUUUUUUCAAUAUCUGGGAAUUUUUAAGAAUAGUCCUUUAUUUGUAUAUGCCUUUAGCUAACUCUAAGUCAAUUAGAAUAAAACUCCUUAACAAUUUUGUUAUAAUCUAAUUUAGUAAUACCAUCUGGAAGUCGGAAAAUAUUACAUAUCUAUAGACACAUAAACAUACAUAAAAACCUAGAAAACUUAUAGCUUCUCUUCCAAAAUUUUAGCCCAUACAUCAGGGGUAAACCCAAAAAUACAAAACUCAUUUUUCAUAUAAAAAGAGCUCCUCUCUAAUGGGUACAAAUUCUUAGUUGAUUUGAGUUCAAAAUUGGGGAAAAAUGAACAAACAGAAAAGAGUAACAAACACGAUUUUCUGUCAUCUUUCAUUCAAAAGAGAAAAAUAUCUAUAGGCCAUUUAAUUCACUUAGAUAGCCAAAUUAUCUAAUGACAAAACCAAAAAAAAAAAAAAAAGCCAUCCAUCACCAGAAAUCAACCAAAGACUCAAAAAAAAAAAAAAUCAAAAUCAAAUUCUUACCAUGCUUCCAACAGACAAGAGUCUGGACAUAGGACCAGGACCAGGACUCACCUUUAGUCCCCUGGGUUGCCAGCCAGGAAUGGAGCACAAAAGGCUCCAGAUGGCCUUAUUACCUGGCUGGAGCAGAUGGGAAUCUGGAGGCAAGGUGCCAUCCUGAGGCAAACUGUCAAAGACAAAAACCAGACAAGUUAGGAGACCAAAAUGAGGGAGACUAUCACAAUAGGAGUAUCAACCCCAGUCUAAAUAUCUUCGGAGCACCUCUACUUUUAUAGACGUUUGCAAAUGAGGUGGUUUUACACCCUGGCUUUGCAAGCUGCAGAAAUAAGCCUUAUUUAUCAAAACAGGAAAUGGUUUUUCCCAAAUAUGGCUAGCUUGCUACCUUCGGAGAGCAGAGAGUUUUAAUCUCCGUUAAUCAACCAUGAGCUAAAGAACAGGAUGUGAAAGUGUCUUGUUUUGCCUUGUCAGCACAUUCAGACCAAAGGGGAAAGUGCGUGGGGUUUUGUCACACGUGAUCAAAGAUCUUGGAGCCAAGAGCUUCGAGCGGAAGUAACAGCACGUGAUCAAAGAUCUGGGAGCCAAGAGCUUCAAGGGGAAAUAACAACACAGGAAAUGAGACUUCUAGCCCCCACCCCAAGCGAGGCUAAAUCCUUUCUCAGCCCAGUGGGCUCUUCUACAUGGAAUACACUUACUUUCCAUGCCCCCCACCCCGCCACGCACACGUACCUCCUUACAUGUAGCCUCUCUUCCCCUCUUAACACUUCUAUCCACAUCUCUCCAUUUCCAGAUGCCAGCCCGCUCUAUCACCCGAUCCCUUCAAGGCUACUGAGAUACCACCUAAAUGGUUUCCUGCCUUCCUGACUUUUCUCCCACAAUUCAGUUUCCAAGAAGCAGAGCGAAACGAGGUGAAAACUGAUUUUUUACUACCCUGUUCAAAAGUUUUCAGUCUCUCCCUGUUACCUUUCCAAAAUGGUCUACACUGCAUAGCAGAAUGUGCAAGCCUUUCACAUUCUGGCUCACCUCUUCUUUUGCCAGCCCUGAGCAGACUCUACUCUCCAGCUCUGUUGAAUGCUUGCAGUUCCCAAACAGCCCAUGCUCUUCUCCACGUCUAGACCCUUGUCUGUGUUUUCCUUUCUGCCUCCAAUGCCCUCUCUCCACCUGGCUACGUCCUUAAGGACAUGCGGGCUAAGUCCUGCAUGUAUACAUGAGGUUUAGAUGACACAUACUCCGGGCUCGCCCCUGGCCCCCCCCCCCCCCCCUGUUCUCUCAGCCUUCCCAAAUCUGAAUGGGCUGCAAGUUCUCCAUUCCAUACUCUCUUCUUUCAUAGCACUUACUGUACCAUUUGGAAAAUUGCUCUUUGCCUGUCUCUGCAAAUAAAUGAGAAACUCCCUGAAAGUCAA